CCUUCGGCGAUAGCACAUAUACCUGUGUUUAUGACGCGUCACAUCAGCGGUCAUCGCUUCUUGUGCUGGCACUGUAGACAUGAAAAAAUUGUUUAUUUAAGAACACCGAUGCGAAAGCUGAAAUAUAGAGUGAUUUAUCCUUGUUAGAUUUCUUGAUUCCUGAGCCUAGAAGCGCCGAUAGCGUGAGGACGGACUCGGCGAAUACGCUAGGCCUAAGCUUCGGUGGGGACCGAUCUCGGCGCGGGUAGCUGGCGAAAGCUAAAAUGUAUUUGAGCCUCAGAACUUUUUUAGUACAAUAGGGAAAGUGGAAGCGCACGAAUCACCUCAGCUUUGUUAUCGGUGCGAUAAUAUCAGUCAGCGAUAGGCUUCGAACUCGGGGUCCGUUCGCGCGCGUCUGAACGACUUCUGCAUUUCAUGUUCACUCCACUACACUGCGACAACGGCGACAACUCCCAGCCAUACGUUACGUGCGAAGUACUAAAAAACACGGUGACCUCUGCGUUUACGAGGUUUCAUUCAAGAAUUUAGCCAUCCGCCCAGUCAAAAGGGAAAAUGAAAAAAAAAAAAAAACGAAAGUGAUUUUCAGUUUCAAAUGUGCAUGAGUAAACAGGGCAGCUCACGCACCUUUAUUGCAAGCUGUGACACGAAAUAGGGUCUUAUAACCCUAAGAUAUAGCGUUAUUUAGGACAAGAGACUAGUAUCAAGCGAUGAAUUGUAUAAAGCAUUUAUUAUUCAGCAGCGCCCCUCCUUGCGUACUGAAACCAGCGCGGCACAAACACAACCAGCGCAUUUUCCAGUGCCAAUCACCGAACUGCAGCGAGAACCAGCGCCUGUACAGCACAAACCAGUGCGCCCCAGCGUCAUGGCAGUGGAACCAGCGUCUCUUCCAGUGUGACCCCGCUCUUAUCCAGCGCUCUCACUGGUGUCCCAGUGAGUCCCAGCGAGUGCCAGUGUACCCAGUGCGACCCAGCGCCAAAAAGCGCGCUGGUUUCACACUGGAAGACGCUGGUUUUUGCAAUAGGGUACCUAUCCACGAGUAUAGCAACAAAGGAUUUCAAAAGGUAAAUUACAGCACACAAAGAAAGUAUCCCGCGCAAAUAAACUGGUAGCAAUAAACAAGCUGAAAAAAUGGUGUCAAAAUUAGCAUCGUUCAUUAUGACACCACCCAACUGCAGCACGCUGCAGAAAGCGGAGAAUAACUGAAAUACCUUUUCCAAUGCUUCCUUAAGAUAUCAGACCAAAUAUAAUCGCAACUGAUCUAGGGAUGCUGCAAAAAUAUAUUUCUUUCGUCUUCAUCACCUUGAAAGAAAAUUUUCAUACUGCUCUACGUCGAUGCUACCCUUUACCGACUGAGUGGGACAAAUUUUUGCUCACGGUAAGCUGGAGAGUAUUUUUUUUUUCCCUUUCGACACAUGUCUUCAUUUAUCUCCCAUUGCACUUCAGUACCUCGCAGACAUCGCGAUAACCUAUUUCCGGCAAGGUAGAUGAACGUUCGAUUACUCCCCCGAGCGACGCGUGGAGAUGGGAAAAUCCCAGAGAUUACAUUGUGUUGAAUUCAGUGGCAGCUGUUUGUAUGAGUAUAUAAGGAAUGUCGAAUUUUCCUGAAGCAAGAAGUUGUCAGCCGACCACCAGGCAGCAGAAGAAAGCGGUCAUUUCACCAUGAAGACUUGUUUGUGGCUCACUCUCCUAUCACUCGUCGCCGUAGCCUAGCGCCGAAGGUGGUCUUGGGUAAGCCUGUUCUUCCUAAAGAAGCUGAAGCAGAUACACUUGAGAAAGCUGGAAAGGCCUUGGAGACAGUGGGACGGCUUCUGCAAGGGGAAAAUGUCGCCUUAGACGAGGAGGUGCAAGAAAAUUUGGUCAACGCUCUCCGGGUAGCGUCUAACAAUGGCGAAGUCUUGACCGAGGAAGGUUCCGAGUACAUCCUGCCAAUCAUCAUUCGUGGUGUUGUUCAGGGUGCCAUCGCCCACGUUGUUCAGAAGAAGUUGAACAAGGGCUAAGGACACUGCAAGUGAAGAACUACUAGGCGUUAACUGCAAUGUGAUAAAAAAACACUGCCAGGAAUUGCCGAGCCAGUUACUUGCUCAUGAUUUGUAGGGUCACAUGAUUUAGCAGGAAAUAAAGCUUUGUUGCAUCCAUUGAUUUUCAA